UACGAAGGGGGCUAGCGUUGCUCGGAAUGACUGGGCGUAAAGGGCGCGUAGGCGGAUUGUACAGUCAGGCGUGAAAUUCCCGGGCUCAACCUGGGGGCUGCGCUUGAGACGUGCGAUCUUGAGUGGGGAAGAGGGUCGUGGAAUUCCCAGUGUAGAGGUGAAAUCGUAGAUAUUGGGAAGAACACCGGUGGCGAAGGCGGCGACCUGGUCCUUGACUGACGCUGAGGCGCGAAAGCGUGGGGAGCAAACAGG
rnacentral:rRNA from 1 species